ACUCAUGUGAUGAGUUAACUCGGAUUCCCCUUCAGGAUGUCAUGUAUGAUGUGACUAUUGAU
rnacentral:snoRNA from 1 species